rnacentral:rRNA from 1 species
AGUUAAGCUACAAAGGGCAUAUGGCGGAUGCCUAGGCGCUUCGAGCCGAUGAAGGACGCGAUAAGCUGCGAAAAGUCAUGGGGAGCCGCAAGUAGGCUGUGAUCCAUGAAUCUCCGAAUGGGGCAACCCGGUACGAGUUAUGUCGUAUCAUCUACGGAAGGCAGACCUGGUGAACUGAAACAUCUAAGUAGCCAGAGGAAAAGUAAUCAAACGAGAUUCCCAUAGUAGCGGCGAGCGAACAGGGAAGAGCCCAAACCGGACGACUUCGGUCGACCGGGGUUGAGGACUGGCAUAAAGGGAAGAAUUCCUAGCUGAAGCUUCUGGGAAGGAGCGGCACAGAAGGUGAAACCCCCGUAAGCGAAAGGGAUUCCAACGGGCCAGUAUCCAGAGUACCACGAGACACGUGAAACCUUGUGGGAAGCAGGGUGGACCACCAUCCAAGGCAAAAUACUACGAAGCGACCGAUAGCGCAUAGUACCGUGAGGGAAAGGUGAAAAGGACCCCGGGAGGGGAGUGAAAUAGAACCUGAAACCGUAUGUCUACAAGCAGUUGAAGCACUUUAUAUGUGCGACAGCGUGCCUAUUGAAGAAUGAACCGGCGAGUUAAUUUUUGUUGCGAGGUUAAG